AUAUAGUAACGAGGAAUACAUCUUGGGAAGCCUUGAUUAGCGAUCAUCGACAUAUCAGAAGAUCAAUCAAGUCCUCGUCUCACCCCCACAGCCCCCACAGUCUGAGUGCUCGUCGAUGUUCACCAUGUAUGCCGAAGUAGUAUCUCCUAUAUCCCUAUUGUAUACACAAGUAUUAUUAAUCAAUUAGUUUUGCGCAAUUUGUGAUUACACAUAGACCAAACGUCCAGAAUUCGUCCGGAACGAAAUCAUCCCCGCGAGCAGACGAUGCCGGCCAUGACGGCGGAGCAAACGCCAUGUUGAAAGGAGACCAGCAUGCCGGCGUGUUGUGUGUCCCUGUAUCCCUACAUCAAUGCUCUUCCCACUCUUCCUGAACGUACUGUACAGUGCAGCCUGGGAAAACAAUAGCGUCCUUCAAUCAGAAAGCAGUGCAGAGAGGUUUUCAUGGGAACAAACAUGCCAAUGCUUCCGAAGUUGAAGCGUGCACCAGGACAGUGUAAGCUUUGUUUUUGAGGCUCUUCAAUCCAGCGAGAAUAGCCAGCAAGGUGUAGACUCUUCCAGCAGUCACCACACAUGAGGCAUCUGUAGCAGAUAUCGGAAGCAGUGGUGUGGUGCCCCCUUACACCGAAACUCCUCAACGCAUCUCAAGUCAGUGUUCAUAUCCACUGGAUUUUGGUGUAUCGAUUUCCCAGGCCUUGAGAAUGAACCCGUCUUAUUGAUCUGGCUUGAUAUCCAGGAAUGCCCAGGAAAUCCCAUGCAGAUGCAAAGAUAGACACUGCGCUGAAGACGUGGUUAGAGACGUACUAAUCAUGUGUAGAGGCUUGCACUGUAAACCCCCAGACUUGUUUAUUGACGCUGCUGUUAGUGCUUCAUAUGAUAAUGACUGGUUGUGUUAUUACGUUAUAAACCACAUGUUUUGUCAAUAUCAUGCGUACCACAGUUAUCACACCGCAGUUGCAGUGCAUGUCAGGAGAUAAGGUUCUCAUUUGUACACAUGCCUGUUACACUGAAUUAACGAAUUUCUUCGCUGCCAAACUGCCUCGGCCAUUCCUCGUUCUUACGACAUUUGAGCUGGCUUGGUUAAACAGGGAAAGUGUACUGCCUUACAGCAACUGCGCCGUAUACAUAUUUCUACGAUACGCACGUGGCAAAGUUGGAACUGCCCUUCCUCUGCUGAUCAGAAGAAAUUUCUCUUAA